AAGCUCAGCUCCAUUUCUUCCAUUUCAGCAAAAAACACAGGAACAUAUUCUGUCACUGCUACAGGCUCCAAGUUUUCAUAACAUCCUUUCAUAACAUACAACUUUGCAGAGAACCGGGGCUUUCACUCAUUAUGUCAGGAAGAAAGACAAGUGUUUCAUUGCUGCAUGUAUUUGAUUCUCCCAAAACAACUGAGACUUUUAAAAAGCAAAAUGCCCCUGUUAAUAAAGAGGAGGAUAAAACUAAAGGGCUAAACAAGGACAUCACUCCACAUGACGAAGAUGUUUCU